CCAGGUAAGUAUAACUAUGCCUGGGUAGGGCAAAGCCAGAGGAAACUCUGGUGGAGGUCCAUAGAGGUCCUGACAUGCAAAUUGGUCGUCUGACCUGGGUAUAGGAGCAAAAGACUAAUCGAACCAUCUAGUAGCUGG
rnacentral:ncRNA from 1 species